rnacentral:rRNA from 1 species
AUUGAACGCUGGCGGCAGGCCUAACACAUGCAAGUCGAGCGGAUGAAGGGAGCUUGCUCCUGGAUUCAGCGGCGGACGGGUGAGUAAUGCCUAGGAAUCUGCCUGGUAGUGGGGGAUAACGUCCGGAAACGGGCGCUAAUACCGCAUACGUCCUGAGGGAGAAAGUGGGGGAUCUUCGGACCUCACGCUAUCAGAUGAGCCUAGGUCGGAUUAGCUAGUUGGUGGGGUAAAGGCCUACCAAGGCGACGAUCCGUAACUGGUCUGAGAGGAUGAUCAGUCACACUGGAACUGAGACACGGUCCAGACUCCUACGGGAGGCAGCAGUGGGGAAUAUUGGACAAUGGGCGAAAGCCUGAUCCAGCCAUGCCGCGUGUGUGAAGAAGGUCUUCGGAUUGUAAAGCACUUUAAGUUGGGAGGAAGGGCAGUAAGUUAAUACCUUGCUGUUUUGACGGUACCAGCAGAAUAAGCACCGGCUAACUUCGUG